GGUGCCCCGGGAAGGCAUGGGCCAGGCCACAUACUGAGCCCCACCCCGGUUCACCCGCAG
rnacentral:miRNA from 1 species